AUCUUCAGUUUGCAAUUUUUAAUCUCCAAAUCAUAAUCUGUUGCCCAUUUCCGACAAUGUAUAUCAAUCUUUAAUCUCGAUUAUUUUAAUUUACUUUUUUCCUUAAAAAAAAGAAAGUUAAAAGUUAAAUCAAGUAAAACUAAUCUAUAUUGAUAGAAACGGACAUAAUGUUGAUCUGAGUACAGGUGCAAUUCAACCUCGUUGCAACCGAACGGAACAUUCUCAUUCUCGAUUGCGCAAAACUCGUACGGGGAGGAAUGUUCCAGAGAUAUUGGCUAUAGUUGAAUGAUAACGACAUAAUUGAGACGUGCAUUAUAUAGUUAUAUCUAUUAAUCGGAGAGCCGUUGUCACAUCGAGUAAACCCAUAUUCACGCUGAUUCAUACGAUCUGGAGAUCUGCGAAUCCACGAAGAGGCUUUUAAAGCGAUUCAGCUGGUUCCUCUCGAUCUCAAGAUCGUGGUUCAACAUGUCAAAUCCGUCAGAGCGCAUUAAUUACGUGCAAGACAGCAGCAGCGAUACAGAAACAGAUUACAAAGAGACCGAUGGGAGAGGAAGACAUCGUUUAUACAAGAACAGAUUGAGUUGUGGUGGCUCGUCGAAGCCGAAAUCUUGUCUGGUACAGAGGGAUAGCAGCGGCGAUCGACAUUAUCAUUCUUUCAAUACCGGCAGAAAUUCCCACGGCAUGAGAGUCAUGAACAGAAUUCGUUCAAACGUUAAUAUGGCAAAACAAAAUCAAAGUCAAAGUCAGAACAGCAACAGAGAUAAUGCAAUAUCAGGAGGAUCGGCGACGGCAUCUACUACCGGGGUUAGCAAUCAACCAGCUAGUGAUGAAAGAAUCACCUUAAUCGUUGACAACACCAGAUUUAUUGUUGAUCCUGCUUUAUUCACAGCACAUCCCAACACUAUGUUGGGUCGUAUGUUCAGCUCGGGCGUGGAAUACGCUCAACCUAAUGAACGCGGCGAGUAUGAGGUCGCCGAUGGCAUUUCCGCCAUGGUUUUCCGCGCAAUUCUGGAAUAUUAUAAAGGCGGAGUAAUUCGGUGUCCUCCAACUGUAAGUGUUCAAGAACUACGAGAGGCGUGUGAUUAUUUGCUAGUGCCUUUCGAUGCUAGCACUGUAAAAUGCCAAAAUCUCAGAGGAUUGCUGCACGAGUUAUCGAACGAAGGUGCACGCUGCCAGUUCGAGGUAUUCUUAGAAGAUUUAAUCUUGCCAUUAAUGGUGAAUAGCGCACGACGUGGUGAUCGCGAGUGUCACAUUGUUGUCUUGCUUGAAGACGACAUCGUCGAUUGGGACGAGGAGUAUCCGCCUCAGAUGGGAGAAGAAUAUUCUCAAACUGUCAAUAGCACGGCGAUGUAUCGCUUCUUUAAAUAUAUUGAGAAUCGAGAUGUUGCCAAGCAAGUGAUGAAGGAGCGCGGUCUCAAAAAAAUUCGUUUAGGUAUCGAAGGUUAUCCGACUUACAAAGAAAAAGUAAAGAAACGUGCCGGUGGUCGUGCUGAAGUCAUCUAUAAUUAUGUUCAACGACCUUUCAUCCAUAUGUCUUGGGAAAAGGAAGAGGCCAAGAGUCGCCAUGUUGACUUCCAAUGCGUUAAAUCUAAGUCAGUGACAAAUCUCGCUGAAGCCACAGCCGAUCCUGUUCUGGAUGCUGCUGGAAAUCCUAUGCUUCUUCAGGUUGCUGAAGGAGCAGUUUCCCAGCCGGAAAUAGUUGGACUUCCUAUGGGUUCGGAUGUUGAUGUGGAUGGACCGAUGGGAUCUGGAGAUCAAGAUUUAGGCCCAUUACCAUCUGACGAUCUACCAUAAAAGAUGGGAAUAGAGUAGAGUGGAAUUUAGAAAUCUCGAAAAAAUUUGGAAACAAACUUUAAGAAAAUAUUUAUAAUUUUUUAAAAAUUCUUAAGAAAAAUCUUAUAAUCUUUCUAUCGUGAAGGAUGAGAAUUGAAAACCGGAGUGUACUAAAUUCUUAAAAGACUGAGAUGUAUUUUGACUUGAAUCGCUAAAAAUUGAACCUUGAAGGCUGUAGAAUACAUUGGAUUUUAAUGAUUAUUGAGAACGGAAAAUAAACGAAUAAUUCUCCAAGAUGCAUAUCCUGAAGAUUUUAAAGUUUAGAAAAAGGAAUGGUUCGAUUAUUUAUAAGAUUUUUGGUAUCGCACAAUAUGUAUGGCUAAAGGAUGUAUAUCAAAAGUCUUAUCAAGACGCUAUGCACUCCAGUCUUUAUGAUUUAAUGUUUCGUCUUUUUUUUUUUUUCAAUUUUUUGUUCCGGGUUUAUAUGAUUCUGUCUAAAAAAUAUUUAUUGAAAUCAAUGGACAUAAGAAAAGAUAUUUUUAAUUAGUGAUAAUGAUAUGAAUGUCGUUUUUCGCUUUGUAUGAUCCUUCAAGAUCUAUAUGAUUCUGUUUAAGCAAAAAGACUCAUAUUAAGACUAAACAUAAACUUCUUCGUCUAAUAUCUCUUGUCAUAUAUAACUUUUGCAAUGUGUAUAUAUAAGCGUUUAUUACAUAUAUAUAGAUUUACGACAUACUGUGUGAAUAUAAUUGCGAUCGAUGUAUUAUUAUAAUAACAUCUACCAUCGUUCUUUCCCGUUUUAUACCAUUAUGAUAAAUAAAGUUGAAUACGCGAUUUCUCAAUAAA
rnacentral:misc_RNA from 1 species